GGAGGGUCCGCCGCUCGCGUCAUCUGAGGCGCGGGAGGAAAGUCCGGGCAACACAGAGCACCAUAUUUUCUAACGGAAAGCUAUCGGUAACGGUAGAGUAGUGUGACAGAAAACUACCGCCUUCUUUCGGAAGGCAAGGGUGAAAAGGCGAGGUAAGAGCUCACCGGGCGCGACGGCGACAUCGCGUGCCGCACACCUUAUGGGUUGCAAAGCCAAGUAUACCGGCAUUCAAGGGCUGCUCGUCCAUUGCCGGGGGGUAGGCUGCGUCAGAUAAAUGGCGGACGGCGCCAGACAACUCUGCCUGCAGAAAGUGUCUGCGCUACAUAACCCGGCUUAUACUCCGACC
rnacentral:RNase_P_RNA from 1 species